rnacentral:rRNA from 1 species
GCUUGCGCCAUAUUAGUUAGUUGGUAGGGUAAUGGCCUACCAAGACGAUGAUGUGUAGCUGGACUGAGAGGUUGAACAGCCACAUUGGGACUGAGACACGGCCCAAACUCCUACGGGAGGCAGCAGUAGGGAAUUUUCGGCAAUGGAGGAAACUCUGACCGAGCAACGCCGCGUGAACGACGAAGUACUUUGGUAUGUAAAGUUCUUUUAUCAAGGAAGAAAAGCAAGUGGUGAACCAUUUGUUUGCCGGUACUUGAUGAAUAAGCCCCGGCUAAUUAUGUGCCAGCAGCCGCGGUAAGACAUAAGGGGCAAGUGUUAUCCGGAAUUAUUGGGCGUAAAGGGUGCGUAGGCGGUCUAGUAAGUCAGUGGUGUAAUGGCAACGCUCAACGUUGUCCGGCUAUUGAAACUGCUAAACUUGAGUUAGAUAGAGGCGAGUGGAAUUCCAUGUGUAGCGGUAAAAUGCGUAAAUAUAUGGAGGAACACCAGAGGCGUAGGCGGCUCGCUGGGUCUUAACUGACGCUGAGGCACGAAAGCGUGGGGAGCAAACAGGAUUAGAUACCCUGGUAGUCCACGCCGUAAACGAUGAGUACUAAGUGUCGGGUUAAACCGGUACUGAAGUUAACACAUUAAGUACUCCGCCUGAGUAGUACGUACGCAAGUAUGAAACUUAAAGGAAUUGACGGGACUCCGCACAAGCGGUGGAUCAUGUUGUUUAAUUCGAAGAUACCCGAAAAACCUUACCAGGUCUUGACAUGUUUUUGCGAAACGGUAGUAAUAUCGUGGAGGUUAUCAGAAACACAGGUGGUGCAUGGUUGUCGUCAGCUCGUGUCGUGAGAUGUUAGGUUAAGUCCUAAAACGAGCGAAACCCUUAUCGUUAGUUGCCAGCACGUUAUGGUGGGGACUUUAACGAGACUGCCAGUGAUAAAUUGGAGGAAGGUGAGGAUCACGUCAAAUCAGCAUGCCCCUUAUGACCUGGGCUACAAACGUGAUACAAUGGCUGUUACAAAGGGUAGCUGAAACGCAAGUUCUUGGCCAAUCCCCAAAAACAGUCUCAGUCCGGAUUGAAGUCUGCAACUCGACUUCAUGAAGUGGAAUCGCUAG